rnacentral:rRNA from 1 species
UACGUAGGGCGCAAGCGUUGUCCGGAAUUAUUGGGCGUAAAGAGCUCGUAGGCGGCUUGUCACGUCGGGUGUGAAAGCCCGGGGCUUAACCCCGGGUCUGCAUUCGAUACGGGCUGGCUAGAGUGUGGUAGGGGAGAUCGGAACUCCUGGUGUAGCGGUGAAAUGCGCAGAUAUCAGGAGGAACACCGGUGGCGAAGGCGGAUCGCUGGGCCAUUACUGACGCUGAGGAGCGAAAGCCAGGGGAGCAAACGGG